rnacentral:lncRNA from 1 species
CCCACCUUAGCGCAUAUUUUGAAUUGUAAACCUUAAACGGAAGUCUGCCUGGACUUAAUUUUACAGAUUAGCUUCACCCUAUGUUUUGUUUUUUUUUUUUUUUUGGGUAAUUAAAGAUGCAUUAAAAACAAAAACCAAAUACAACACUCAAAUCAACCCAAAUCAAUACCCAUAGAAAAUGGCUACAUUUCGGGAUCACAAGAUACAUCCCAGCCACAAGUGCAUGCCGCCAUGUUGUCGCAUAAAUCAACAAGUCUAACCCCGUCUUUAAAAAAGAUAUUCCCUACCAAGCCCCCGCCUACAGCCUAACAAACAAUGGACUCGAUCGAUUUCACGACUAGCAGAAUAGCCAGGACCAACAGCAUUAACACAGUCCACCUAUAUAGAAAUACUGAAAAUUGCAACAUUUUUAAGCCAUAAACACAAAUAAAAGAAUUCCUAAAGUCCAGUAACCGUCCUCAAAUAAAAAAUUUGAACCUUCUUUCAGUUAGUAUCUAAUUAGAAUUAUCCUAUCACUAUAUCGCUAAUGUUACAUACCCCCGCCAAUUUCGCCAAUGUCACGCUCACGCAUACUCAGACCGUCUCCUAAUGUGACUUAUUAGCAUUGAAGCAUGCAAAAAGAAAAUUGCUAUUCCGUUUGUGCCCAAGUUAAAUGUUUAAAUUCCCACCCAUACCCAAUUGUGAAACAUUAAGAUGCAGUAGUAAAGGGAGGAGUAAAGACAGACAGACAUUCUAGUUUAUUUCCGGGAAUAUGAACGACCAUAUAAAGUUCCCAUUAUCAACGUUUGCAACAUCCAUUUCUAAAUUCUACAUCAUUUAACCAAAAAGUAGCUCAAAAGGAACUAAUAAUUUCCACAUCAGACAGCAAAAGGCAAUCAUAAUCAGGUGGCCAUUCCCAACCCUUGUUCAAUCGCUCAUGCUUCAGCAAAUC